AUUUCGCACAACGACUUAUUGUUUUGUCUCUCAGUAUAACGUUGCGUGCUUCAGCACGCUCAGAAGCGCCAUAUUCGGACGCAAUCUGUGAGGCGGGGCUUAUAAAUUCCCUAGCGGCUGCGAGCCUCCCAAGCACCAAGUUGGAUCAAACUCGAGUCAUGGUUGCGAAAGCCGGGGAAACGUUGAUCCGAGCGAAAACAUUCAACAGAGCUUACGCACCGUGGUCCUGCUAUCCUGGGCGUCCACACAUAGAGAUAUGUGCCACGCAAGUCUGUAAGAUGCCCGUGCAUGCUUUUCUCACAGGUGAUUACAGGGUAAGCGACCGUAAUCGGCCUAUAUGCCAGAUCGAGCAAUGCUACACCUACGAAACAAGUUACGAAAGGCUGUAUAAACUUCCCUUCGAUAAUUCUCUUCGCCCCCCGAUUUUAAGUGGGGUGGGCCCCUCCUUCCCUCAUCCCAAUCACAAUCUGUUAUGUGGCUAAUUACGUAGCCUUUCGUUAACUCGUUCGUAGAUGUAGCAUUGCUCGUGCCAGACUAGGGUACUGUUCCAUCUGUGAGCCGCGCACAUCAGAUGAGGCCAAAUGCGUGUGGACAUUUUGCACAAGGGAAAACAGGUACAACAUUGCAGGCGACCCCGGUAUGGGCGUACCGCUCUCGCGAGUAGCAUGCUCGGCGGCGCCGCCGGCGGAUCCAUUUGAUGGAGCAUACAAGAAACGGAUCUGAAGGAGUGCUUCAAUUGCCGGAUAGGGAGCAGGAGGGGAAGCAGCCGCUCAUCUGGGUCGCCGGCCGGGGACCUGGACGCGCACCGCUGUUUGUAAUCUCCGGCGCAGGCGGAGCCUUUGGAGCAUCCAGGGUCCAUCUGAAGGAGGCAGAUAGCAAAAUCUUUUCUGCAGUACUGUUGACGCGGCCGGGCUCCGUCGCCAUGGGAACGCCGCCUGGGCCCUCCUCCAUAGAACCUGUGGCAUCAGAUCAGACUACUAUGUUAGUUGAGAGAACAUGAGGCUUCUCAGAGCUUAGCGACUCUCGGCCGUCGGAUCGAUUUUUUGAUGCGUUAUGGACCGUUCGAUCUCGCUCCUGGUCGAUAUCAGCCGCUGGAUCAAAAAAAGUUACUGCUAUAAUGAAUAGUAGACCGUUCUAUGCCCUCCAGUGUGCCACCGCCUGUAAUUUCGCUGCCCCGUCGAGGGUAUUUUCGUCAUUUCCCGUCUUAGGUCAACACGUGCUCAUCUCAGAUUCGCUGCCUCCUCCCCAAUCGAUCUCUCUCUCUCCCGCUCGCGAGCCGCCGCCUGCGUUCUUCGCCAUCCGCCGCCAGAAAACAUCCUCCCCGUCCGCCGCCGCCAUGCCAUCGCCGCCACAUACCGGAUGGCGCUGUGAAGGAAGCGACCAGAGAGAGAGGCGUCGCCGGUGUCCAUCGAUUUCCCUCGCUAGGGUUUUGGUGGUGGAGCUGGACCUCGCCUCCGGCGGCCGGCUGCUCGUUGCCCCAAUCUCUCGAUCCCCAUGGAUGCGUCCCUGCAGAAGAGAAGAUGCGGAGGGAGGAUAGGAGGAGGUAGGCGCACUGGGGCGGGGUGGUCUCGCCGCGACGAUAGGGCUGGACGGCCGGAGUUGGAUCGAGAUCCCGGCUGGCACGCCUCGCCUCCACCUCCCUCUCCCACCUCUCCGCUCCCAGACGUACGAGGAAAACUUGCAGCUCUAAAUCUGUUCUUUCUCCCCUCACUCUAAUUGCUCCGUGGCCACCACCAGCAGCCCGAGGAAGGUACUCUGAAAGGAGGAGCUUGUUGGGACAAUCAAGUGAGAUUGAGGACUGGACCAACAUUGUCGUCGCGCACGAACCAGUGUGGGCCAUUGGCACCGGUAAAGUUGCAUCACCGGCUUAGGAAGAGGCUGAAGGUGGUAGCUUGCUGAACUCUCGUUUUGGAAAAAAAUUUGUAGAUGUGGAGUGCUCAUAAAGGAAUGCACGUACGUACGAAUAUGAUGUUUGCUUCCAUUCCCAACUUAUGAAAUGCAUCUUGCGAUACUCACGUGCUCGUGCAGCUGCUGGCUGGAUUUGUCACCCCCGCCUCUCCCUCGCACUCGCGCCCCCAUCCCCCGUUCUCCCGCGACGGCAUGGAUGUGCGGUGUAGUAGGCGGUUCCUCGCCGGUUGGACGGCGUUCAGGCGCAACCCCGACGCCCACUGAGUUGAUGCCCUGGUCGUAUAGCUAUGCUAAAUUGAUAUGUUGUACUUGUGCUAGGGCGAUGGUGAUUAACCUUGGCUGAAAUAAGUGUGCCUUUGAGCAAUCGAGGCACCUGUGGGUAUCAAGUUGGAUCCUCCCUCUUGUCUCUAGAAUCGUUUUUGAUCCUGUGAUACUUGUUGUUCUGCCCUUGGAUGGUCAUUCUUGUAGAGUGAUAACCAGGGUAGCUCCACUGUAUAAACAGAUUGAUCUGGCGAUAAGAGAUGAUGGGGGUAGGUUAUAUGAUCGAGGAAAGACGAAUCUGAGCCCACUAUGCAAUGAACCUUGAACCCUUUUUAUUUGUAUUUAAAAGUGUUGCUUAUUUAUGCUUCAGUUAUUUAUAGCGUCUUAUGUGGACAUUUCUUCUCUCUCAUACCUUUAUUGCAUAUAAGUUGUUCCUGAUGUUUUAUUGUUUGUUGUUGGUCCUUGAUUUAAUCUGGUUAAGAUAAACUGUGGGAAAUAGUUCUGGAUUUGUUGUGUGGUAGUUUGCAAGUGAAUUUGUGAUUUUGGAUUUAGAGUUGAACCCUCUUUUCUGCUGGUUUCCAUGACUCUCAGGUACCAACCUUCACUUUAUACCCACCUAUCAUCUGUUCUGCUUGUUUCCAUGUAUUGAUACUGUUACUUUGCUACAUGGUUCUCUGCUUUUAGUUGUGCAAUCUGAAAUAUGGUUCUUGGACUGUUUCAUGUAAGGCACCGGAUUUGCUAUAAGUCCGCAGACGGCAAGAGCAUGCUUGUGCUUGCUCUGUUACAAGACGAAAAGUUUAGAUUUCAUGGUUCAUAAUAUAAAAUGGCAAUAUUUAGGACCAGAUCACAAUACGGCUAUGAUACAAGAUCUCAUGGUCAUGUAUUAGCUGGUAGUAACGUCAUGUUCUUUUGAGUCUGACAAAGCCUUUAUUUUUUGAAAAUGGUUUCAACGGACAUACAAUUAGGCUGGCGGCUAGAGAAAAGACUGAAUAAUGGCUCCCAUUAGACGUACUAUCAUUCCUCAAAUGGCCAUGUGCUCUGCUUCUUUUUACUGUCGAGUCUUUUAACAAUUGAUCUCUUUCUUUAGCAAUCUAUUGUAUUAGUUACCAGACAUACACUUUUUAAACCUUACUGGGUUUGAAAUUGGUAUUCCAUUACGUUUUGCCACUCGCUUCUGCAAGAGAGAAUGCUUAUAAUAAAUUUCAUGAUGUAACUUCAUAUGAUUUCCAGUUAACAAAUUCCUACUAUUUUGGCACUCCAAAUAGAUAAAAGGAAGUGUACCUGCUAUUCUAAGAUUCAGAUAUCAGGCACAUACAUAAUGUAUCAUCCCUUAUGACUCUGAAGCAAUUCGAGUGAUGGUCUAAGUAUUUCAUACCUCUGUUUAUUGAGCAGUUUAUGUCUUAUGCAUGAUUAGUGGGUUAUCUACUACACACUUUUUAUUUUAAAUGUUAGCAAGGUAACCAGAACUAUGAUACGACCAUAUAGACAGCGACCGAGUGAUAUUAUAAAUCCUUUUAGUACCUUUUUCAUUGCUGACGUGUUCUUCCAAUAAUCUUGGUGCCCACUAUUCUUCUUGGAUAUAGGAUUCCGAUAUAGCAAUUGCAAUAGUCCUCCCAGUUCACUCUUCUGAAUUGUGGCCUGCUGAUUUUUUGUUAUCCAAAAAGGUAGCAGUUCAUAUGUUACUCAUGGACAACCAUAUGAUGUUCUGUCUCAUGUACAUUAAGAGAAUUGCUAAAAAUACUUACUGAAGAUAAAGUUGUAGAAUGUACUAUUGAAACACAGAAUAUCGUUUACCCUUAGCCUCUGCUGGGUCCUUUUGAGAUAUCUGUGUACCAUCAUGGUCUUAUAUUUUGUAGUGUGGUGCCUUUUUUGUUUGCUUUGGGUUCAGCUGCCUUCGUCUGUGCAUAACCUUUUGGUAUAAUCAUAAAACGAGAUAGUCGAUUUCUUAUUCUUGGAAUAGUGCUUUCGCCCGAAUAAUAAAUAAUUUCGUGUAGGGAGAGGGGGCGUAUAUCCAUACACUACCCGCAUCAUGCUAAUUGCAUGUAAUCUGUCUCUCUUUCAUAUAUCUGUUGGUAGUUUUUCUUUUCGAGGUUGCUUUGUCCUCUCCUGAUUAUUCUUUUCCUGGUGAUUAAUUUCUAACUAUUUGUUGUAGAUGGCAUUCAAUGCACUGUUCUUUUGAUGCGUCGGCUUGAAAACGCAUUAUGAUAUACAUUUAACUGUAGAUGGCAUGUACAUUCAACUUGCUUACUCCACAGUUGCGCAAAAAUUUCCUUGGUUCCAGGUUCUGAAUGCGUGUUAAUCCAGCAUCUGUUUUUGACCCUGUAGAUGAAUUUAUCCCGAGAUGUUUAUACAGGGAAGGAGGCAUACCAUUGAUAGUUUGAAUCAAACCAGUAGAGGACGCCACCGUCGAUUAUGGUGUCGAGCAAUGGAACUGCAGUGAUCUGGCAGUGUGACUAUUGACCUCCUUGACACCAUUCACGUUCGUCGCUCUGAACCCACUCAGCAGACAAGUAACUCUUUAUCCUUAAAUUCCAUGUAUAGCUCUGUAUCCUUAAAUUCCCUGCAUUAUUCUCAUGGCCGUUGAAUACAUCAUUUAACCACACGUAAAUGGUUAGGAACCAAAUAAAUUUAAUUUAUCUUCAAUACCCUCUCCAAAAUAUUUCUAUUGUCUGUAUUAGGAAGGAUCUAUAAGAGUUGCUGCUAUAUAUAUGUUGUGAUUCUUGUGAAUCCGCCCAUGUAGUUAAUAUGUGGUUCUUCAUUUUUUUUCUUAGUUCAAGCCCCUGAGAUAAUGCUUUUAAAUUAUUAACUGACUAUAGUUCAAGAUUUAGUGAACAUGUCAACAUACAUGGUGAUCUUUACAACUUAUCUAUUUUUUCUGUGGGGCUUCUUCAAAUAUAAUAAAUUAGGAAUAAAUAAUGUGCAGUAAUCAUGUUUCUUUUCUUAUCACUAUACUUCAGUAAUGGUAUCUACACAAUGUAUACAUACUGCUAUCAUAGUGCAGUGUCAAUGAAGUGUGCUGCUUCUACUUGCAUAAAAGCUGAUAUUGACAUGCUCCUUAGCCAUGUGAUCUUCAAGGGCCUUUGGCUAUGUGUAUCACUUCACAGAUUAAGGAUGUAGCUACAAUCAUUAUUAGUCUUUUUGGUUAUCUUCCUUAAAAAAAAGCAGCUUAGAGACCUACUGGCUGCUCUGGAUCAAGAUUAUAAGCAGAUUUCGUAUAUUUGGACAACAGACAGAGAUUUUGUUUCAUAUAUGCAUAUGCCUUUAUUGUAUAAUUCAGUUCUGCCACCACAUUUUUAUCACAUACAUGAAUUUCCCCUAUACCAGAUAUUAACGUUUGAAAUUAGUGAUAUCUACUCAAAUAAAUAUCCACAGGUUGUGGCAUAGACAUGUUCACAUCAGCAAUCUUUUCUUUGAGAUAUCUGGCGGCCCUUCGUGUAAGUUCAAUGUAUCCAUUUAUCAUUCCAUUGCUUUCUUGAUUCAAAAAUAACAAUAAAGGACCGCUAAAUUGUACUUUGUAGAGAAAGGGAUGACGUACACCUAGGUUAUAUAGGCUUAAGAGUAUCGAUAGUCUAACCGCACAUCAUUUUUUGUACACUCAGUAAUCUUUAAUGGUUUAUUAACACUAGCUAACCCGAAGUAGAUGUUUGUUAUUUGUGCCCUUUUCCUAACUUAUCCAUAGAAUAAUGAUCUUUAUUUUUAUCUGUUUUGUAGAACCAUCGAAUUCAAGUUAUCUUUGAGUACACGACAGCUUCUGAAGUUCGUGUCACAUCAUGCUUUAGUUUCCCACAUUGGCUGAGAUUAUGCAAACAAAAAGACGGUCUCAGGCACAAGAGCAUGAUGUGCUUGCGCCAGUUGCUUUCACACCAAGGCCACGCGGUUGAUCAUCUAAGCGCACCUAUGAAGUUGACCGACAAAGCAGUUGGACAGAGCUACUAAUUAAUUAGUAUGCCUAAUAGCCAUGGCUUUGUAGUUUGACCGCCUCUACCGUCAGUAUGCCUGGCUUUUGCUUUCUUAUUAUGUUCCUGCUAUUAGUACUUCCUCUCUCGUGUUCGUGCUCUUAGUAUUGAACUUAAUGUCGUAGUUAUUAGCUUUUGUGGUCUAAUGAACUAACUGAGUGUUUAUAAUUUCAUGACGAUGUUGAGCUUGA